rnacentral:rRNA from 1 species
CCUACGGGUGGCAGCAGUGAGGAAUAUUGGUCAAUGGCCGCAGGGCUGAACCAGCCAAGUCGCGUGAGGGAUGACGGUCCUAUGGAUUGUAAACCUCUUUUGUCAGGGAGCAAAGGGCGCCAUGUGUGGCGUUGUCCGAGUACCUGAAGAAAAAGCAUCGGCUAACGCCGUGCCAGCAGCCGCGGUAAUACGGAGGAUGCGAGCGUUAUACGGAUUUAUUGGGUUAAAGGGGUGCGCGGGCGGAAUGUCAAGUCAGCGGUAAAAUUUAGGGGCUCAACCCCGUCGUGCCUUUGAAACUGGCGUUCUUGAGUGAACGAGAGGUAUGCGGAAUGCGUGGUGUAGCGGUGAAAUGCAUAGAUAUCACGAAGAACUCCGAUUGCGAAGGCAGCAUACCGGCGCUCAACUGACGCUGAGGCACGAAAGCGUGGGGAUCGAACAGGAUUAGAUACCCCUGUAGUC